UACGAAGGGGGCUAGCGUUGUUCGGAAUUACUGGGCGUAAAGCGCGCGCAGGCGGCUCUUCAAGUCAGGGGUGAAAGCCCAGAGCUCAACUCUGGAACUGCCUUUGAGACUGAAGAGCUUGAGUACGGGAGAGGUGAGUGGAAUUCCCAGUGUAGAGGUGAAAUUCGUAGAUAUUGGGAAGAACACCGGUUGCGAAGGCGGCUCACUGGCUCGUAUCUGACUCUCAGGCUCGACAGCGUGGGGAUCAAACAGG
rnacentral:rRNA from 1 species